rnacentral:rRNA from 1 species
GGGCAGCAGUCUAGAGGCUUCGGCAAUGGAGGAAACUCUGACCGAGCGACGCCGCGUGCGGGAUUGAAGGCCUUCGGGUCGUAAACCGCUGUCAGAAGGGAAGAAUGCUCUGGUGGUGAACCAGAGAGAGACGGUACCUUCAGAGGAAGCCCCGGCUAACUCC